rnacentral:rRNA from 1 species
UACGUAGGGGGCAAGCGUUGUCCGGAAUCAUUGGGCGUAAAGAGCGUGUAGGCGGUCCGGUAAGUCGGCUGUGAAAGUCCAGGGCUCAACCCUGGGAUGCCGGUCGAUACUGCCGGACUAGAGUUCGGAAGAGGCGAGUGGAAUUCCCGGUGUAGCGGUGAAAUGCGCAGAUAUCGGGAGGAACACCUAUGGCGAAGGCAGCUCGCUGGGACGUUACUGACGCUGAGAACGCGAAAGCGUGGGGAGCAAACAGG